rnacentral:rRNA from 1 species
GAUGAACGCUAGCUACAGGCUUAACACAUGCAAGUCGAGGGGAAACGACAUCGAAAGCUUGCUUUUGAUGGGCGUCGACCGGCGCACGGGUGAGUACCGCGUAUCCAACCUGCCCACCACUUGGGGAUAACCUUGCGAAAGUAAGACUAAUACCCAAUGAUAUCUCUAGAAGACAUCUGAAAGAGAUUAAAGAUUUAUCGGUGAUGGAUGGGGAUGCGUCUGAUUAGCUUGUUGGCGGGGUAACGGCCCACCAAGGCAACGAUCAGUAGGGGUUCUGAGAGGAAGGUCCCCCACAUUGGAACUGAGACACGGUCCAAACUCCUACGGGAGGCAGCAGUGAGGAAUAUUGGUCAAUGGACGAGAGUCUGAACCAGCCAAGUAGCGUGCAGGAAGACGGCCCUAUGGGUUGUAAACUGCUUUUAUAAGGGAAUAAAGUGAGUCUCGUGAGACUUUUUGCAUGUACCUUAUGAAUAAGGACCGGCUAAUUCCGU